GGGGAGGAAGGGAGUAAAGUUAAUACCUUUGCUCAUUGACGUUACCCGCAGAAGAAGCACCGGCUAACUCCGUGCCAGCAGCCGCGGUAAUACGGAGGGUGCAAGCGUUAAUCGGAAUUACUGGGCGUAAAGCGCACGCAGGCGGUUUGUUAAGUCAGAUGUGAAAUCCCCGGGCUCAACCUGGGAACUGCAUCUGAUACUGGCAAGCUUGAGUCUCGUAGAGGGGGGUAGAAUUCCAGGUGUAGCGGUGAAAUGCGUAGAGAUCUGGAGGAAUACCGGUGGCGAAGGCGG
rnacentral:rRNA from 1 species